UACGUAGGGUGCGAGCGUUAAUCGGAAUUACUGGGCGUAAAGCGUGCGCAGGCGGUUUUGUAAGCCAGAUGUGAAAUCCCCGGGCUUAACCUGGGAAUGGCAUUUGGGACUGCAAGGCUCGAGUGCGGCAGAGGAGACUGGAAUUCCUGGUGUAGCAGUGAAAUGCGUAGAUAUCAGGAGGAACACCGGUGGCGAAGGCGGGUCUCUGGGCCUGUGGCUGACGCUGGAGGAGCGAAAGCGUGGGAGGCGAACAGG
rnacentral:rRNA from 1 species